rnacentral:rRNA from 2 species
AAAUUGAAGAGUUUGAUCAUGGCUCAGAUUGAACGCUGGCGGCAGGCCUAACACAUGCAAGUCGAACGGUAGCACAGAGAGCUUGCUCUCGGGUGACGAGUGGCGGACGGGUGAGUAAUGUCUGGGAAACUGCCUGAUGGAGGGGGAUAACUACUGGAA